rnacentral:rRNA from 1 species
AACAAACGCUGGCGGCGUGCCUAAUACAUGCAAGUCGAACGGGGAAAGCUUUCGGGUGAGUACUAGUGGCGCACGGGUGAGGAACGCGUGGAUAAUCUGCCUUAGAGUGGGGGAUAACUAGUCGAAAGAUUAGCUAAUACCGCAUAAGACCACAGGAGCUGCGGCUCAAGGGGUCAAAGGUUUUUCGCUCUAAGAUGAGUCCGCGUAAGAUUAGCUAGUUGGUGAGGUAACGGCUCACCAAGGCGACGAUCUUUAACUGGUCUGAGAGGAUGAUCAGACACACUGGAACUGAGACACGGUCCAGAAUCCUAAGGGAGGCAGCAGUAGGGAAUAGUGCACAAGGGAGGAAACUCUGAUGCAGAGACGCCGCGUGAGUGAUGAAGGCCUUCGGGUCGUAAAGCUCUGUCGCAGGGGAAUAACACAAUGAAGGUACCCUGUAAGAAAGGAUCGGCUAACUUCGUGCCAGCCGCCGCCGUAAGAC